AUUGAACGCUGGCGGAAUGCUUUACACAUGCAAGUCGAACGGCAGGCACGGGGGCGAACCCUGGUGGCGAGUGGCGAACGGGUGAGUAAUACAUCGGAACGUGCCCAGUCGUGGGGGAGUAACGUAGCGAAAGUUACGCUAAUACCGCAUAUUCUGUGAGCAGGAAACGGGGGAUCGCAAGACCUCGCGCUUCCGGAGCGGCCGAUGUCGGAUUAGCUAGUUGGCGGGGUAAAGGCCCACCAAGGCAACGAUCCGUAGCGGGUCUGAGAGGAUGAUCCGCCACACUGGGACUGAGACACGGCCCAGACUCCUACGGGAGGCAGCAGUGGGGAAUUUUGGACAAUGGGCGCAAGCCUGAUCCAGCCAUGCCGCGUGAGUGAAGAAGGCCUUCGGGUUGUAAAGCUCUUUCGGCUGGGAAGAAAUCGCAUCUCCUAAUACGGGGUGUGGAUGACGGUACCAGCAUAAGAAGCACCGGCUAACUACGUG
rnacentral:rRNA from 1 species